UACGUAGGGUGCAAGCGUUGUCCGGAAUUAUUGGGCGUAAAGAGCUCGUAGGCGGUUUGUCGCGUCUGCUGUGAAAACCCGAGGCUUAACCUCGAGCUGUCGGCGGAAACCAUCUGGCUAGAGUCCGGAAGAGGAGAAUGGAAUUCCCGGUGUAGCGGUGAAAUGCGCAGAUAUCAGGAGGAACACCGAUGGCGAAGGCAGGUCUCUGGGCCACUACUGACGCUGAGAAGCGAAAGCAUGGGGAGCGAACAGG
rnacentral:rRNA from 1 species